rnacentral:lncRNA from 1 species
UGGUAUAAGCUUGAGGCCUUUCAGGAGUGCAAUAGUAAAUCUUAAAUGAGAAUCGUGAAGGUAGCAGCUGAGAUGAAUUGAGAAUCGUGAAGGUAGCAGCUGAGAUGAAUUGGUGAAUUGAUGUCCCUAAACCUAAAGCUGAGAAUCGUGAUGUCCCUAAAGCUGUUGAUGAAUUGAUGGGUAGCAGCUGAGAAAUGAGAAUCGAAACAAAUGAAUUGAGUUGAAGCGGCGAAGCGAAGAGUGUCGUGAAGGCUGACGACUGAAGAGUGAACUGAAGAAGUGAAGAUUAGGUUUAGACUUUAGAUAAUUGCGGUCAAAAUUGAAAAUUCGGUCAAAAGUUGGAGAACCGCGGUUCACAGGUUGAACCGGUUUUAACGGGUUUUACGAUUUUUACAAUUUUGACCGAUUCUUGGCCCAGGUCAACAAAGACUAUGAACUGGACCAAACACAUGACCGGUUUGCGUUGGAAAUGAG